UACGAAGGGGGCUAGCGUUGCUCGGAAUCACUGGGCGUAAAGGGUGCGUAGGCGGGUUCUUAAGUCAGAGGUGAAAUCCUGGAGCUCAACUCCAGAACUGCCUUUGAUACUGAGAGUCUUGAGUUCGGGAGAGGUGAGUGGAACUGCGAGUGUAGAGGUGAAAUUCGUAGAUAUUCGCAAGAACACCAGUGGCGAAGGCGGCUCACUGGUCCGGUACUGACGCUGAGGUGCGAAAGCGUGGGGAGCAAACAGG
rnacentral:rRNA from 1 species